CUUUCGGUUUGAAGAAUGUUUUUAGUAGGAAGUGCGUUUUACAUAAACCAUUUACAAUCGUGAUACUGUUGCUGUUGUUGGUGACAAAGGGAAGAACAGAAGUCGACGAUUGCUACCAAUAUUAUUAUACCUAUGAUUGUGAAAAUAACGAACUUGUUGAAUCAAUAGUCGGAGGAGUAAUUGGAGGUCAUUUUGCACUCGGUAUAUUGAUAUUUUUCAUAUGUGUAUGCUAUCAUAAAAGCAAAGCACGACCAGGACGCGUGGUAAAUGCAACAGCUGUUCCAACUGUUACACAAACUCAGUUUGGUGGAACCUAUGGUAAUAACUUUUCAAACCACACUACCACCCAGUUUGGAACUCAGUUUACAUAUGGUCAACAGCAACAGCAACAGUCUGAUCCGUAUCAGCAACAGUCUCAGCUCAAUCCGUAUGCUCCACCACCAGCAUUUAGUUACUAGUAUAACAAGUUGUAUAUUGCUUCGGUGUGAGAGAGAUGUAACAUAGUCUCAGUACUAAAACAAACUAUGUGUAUUGACCUAAAGUAAUCAAAUAAUUCGUAAAAUAUGUCGCCGCUCUGAGUCUGUCAAUUUCAAAGUUGAUCAUGACAUUGUUAAAGAACGAAAUACUAAACCAGAUCGUUCAUCAUGAUCAUUAUCAUCAUCAUCAUAGAAUAGUCAGGUUAUAUCAAACUGUAAUAUCUGUGUGUUACAAAACCAAUUAGCAAAUACUCAAAUGUGCGAAAUUAUAUGAAUUUCUAUGCCUUUGUUUGUUCUAUAUAUGUUUUGCAAUGCGAGCACAUACACAAACUUUUUUUGUCAUUUUUGUUGGUGUAAACUACAAACAAAAUGUGUUGGUGUUUUUAUCAAAUUGACUAUCAAUUACAAAAAUAUUUUUAUUUGCGUCUUUUCAUAUUUUAUUUAUUUUGUAUGAUUGUUGAAUCUUUACGUCAAUUUUAUUGUACGGCCAAUAUCAAGGAACUAUAAAACAUCUGUCAUACAAGACUUAGUGGAAGAUUUAGCUAUCUAUGAAAACCAAACUUAAUCAACCAUUUUCAGGGAAUUGUAUGUACCAAGUAAGGAAUAUGACAGCUGUUU